GAUGAAGAACGUAGCGAAAUGCGAUAAGUAAUGCGAAUUGCAGAAUUUCCGUGAGUCAUCGAAUCUUUGAACGCACAUUGCGCCCUUUGGUAUUCCGGAGGGCAUGCCUGUUCGAGCGUCAUUAUCACCCCUCAAGCCCGGCUUGUUGUUGGAUGCAGCGCUUAUCCCGCUCCUCCCAAAGAUAAUGACGGCGUCUGCGACGACUCCUGUACACUGAGCUUUCGGGCACGUACACGGCUAGAAGUCCAGACCCGGUCGCCGUCCCCCCCGCGGGGACACCCAUUACCACAAGGUUGACCUCGGAUCAGGUAGGAAUACCCGCUGAACUUAAGCAUAUCAAUAAGCGGAGGA
rnacentral:misc_RNA from 1 species